rnacentral:rRNA from 1 species
UACGGGGGAUGCAAGCGUUAUUCGGAAUCAUUGGGCGUAAAGGGCACGCAGGCGGUCUUGUCAGUCAGAUGUGAAAGCCCGGGGCUCAACCCCGGACGUGCAUUUGAAACAGCAAGACUUGAGUACGGUAGAGGAAAGCGGAAUUCCUGGUGUAGAGGUGAAAUUCGUAGAUAUCAGGAGGAACACCGGUGGCGAAGGCGGCUUUCUGGACCGAAACUGACGCUGAGGUGCGAAGGCGUGGGUAGCGAACAGG